GUUAGGAAUAUUGGACAAUGGGCGCAAGCCUGAUCCAGCCAUGCCGCGUGAACGAUGAAGGCCUUCGGGUUGUAAAGUUCUUUAGCCGAUGAUUAUAAUGACUGUAGUCGGAAAAUAAGCCCCGGCUAACUUCGUGCCAGCAGCCGCGGUAAUACGAAGGGGGCGAGCGUUAUUCGGAAUCACUGGGCGUAAAGCGUGCGUAGGCGGUCUCGUAAGUUAGGAGUGAAAGCCCAGGGCUCAACCUUGGAAUUGCUCUUAAUACUGCAAGGCUAGAAGCUCGGAGAGGAUAGCGGAAUUUCCAGUGUAGCAGUGAAAUGCGUAGAUAUUGGAAGGAACACCAGUGGCGUAAGCGGCUAUCUGGACGAGUAUUGACGCUGAGGCACGAAAGCGUGGGGAUCAAACAGGAUUAGAAACCCUAGUAGUCC
rnacentral:rRNA from 1 species